rnacentral:rRNA from 1 species
UAGGGAAUCUUCGGCAAUGGACGAAAGUCUGACCGAGCAACGCCGCGUGAGUGAAGAAGGUUUUCGGAUCGUAAAACUCUGUUGUUAGAGAAGAACAAGGACGUUAGUAACUGAACGUCCCCUGACGGUAUCUAACCAGAAAGCCACGGCUAACUACGUGCCAGCAGCCGCGGUAAUAGGUAGGUGGCAAGCGUUGUCCGGAUUUAUUGGGCGUAAAGCGAGCGCAGGCGGUUUCUUAAGUCUGAUGUGAAAGCCCCCGGCUCAACCGGGGAGGGUCAUUGGAAACUGGGAGACUUGAGUGCAGAAGAGGAGAGUGGAAUUCCAUGUGUAGCGGUGAAAUGCGUAGAUAUAUGGAGGAACACCAGUGGCGAAGGCGGCUCUCUGGUCUGUAACUGACGCUGAGGCUCGAAAGCGUGGGGAGCAAACAGG